CCUCCAAAAUCAUUUUCCUCUAAAUCUACCCUUUCUCCACUAUCAGUCGGUGAACCAGCCAUUGCUAUUCCCUCUCUGCUUUCUCACUAGCUCCGGCCACCCUCCAUACUCCGUGAACCCCACUCUGUACAACUAUUAUAGCCGUUAUUUCGUCUGUUCCUGUUCAGUCCCGGCUAAACUCCACUUAGUCGCCCCCUUUCUCCUUUGCAUCUCCCCUUCUCUCUUUUUUAAAAUCAAAAUUUGCUAUUGCUCUGGCGGAUUUGAGAAGGCCCGAGUUCUAUUAUAUUUUCAAAGUGGUGCACAAUUAUCGAUCGUCUUUUCCCCUUUAAAGCUUCAAGGCUUCAAGUCUAGGAAGGAUUCUUAUGAAGUCGUCUAUGGUAUGGAUCCCUUAGUGAUUAUGUUCCAUCUCUAUCUCAAUUUCGUGAUUUUGUUCUUAAAUAUUUUGAAUUCAAAAUUCAUGGAUAUUGAGUGUUGAUUCCCUUCUAGAAUUUACUGUGUUUUAUCCGUUUUCAGAUUUCAUUUUAAAAGAAAAUGGUUUUGACCUUUUCAAACUAUUUCAAAAGAUUCAAGAAAAUUUCAAAAUAAUUUUUAAAAAAAUUUACAGAGUCGCCACUUAUUUUCAUAGGAAAUAUCAAGGAAACUUAAAAGAGUUUCAAAGGUUCAAAAAUAGAAAUAAACCUUUAAAUCUAGAGAAAAUUGGUAAGGGUUCAAUUAACGCCUAAGAAGGUUUUUAAGACACUUAGGAGCGUCUAUUUAAAAACGGUAUACCAAAAAAGUAAUUUUUGACUAACUUAAAAAAAGGGCGUCUAACUUUGAAAAAAUAUUAAAAUUAGUUACUCACAUAUUUUGGAAUUGGCAUUUGUUUAUUCAAACAAGAAAAGAAAAAAAGUCAGAAAUACCCUUCAAGUAUUAAAAUUGGGUCAAAAAUACCCUUCAUUAACCUAUUGGGCCAGAAAUACCCUUCAAGUAUUGAAAAUGGUUCAAAAAUAUCCCUCCAUCCACCUUUAUGGCUCAAAAAUACCCUUGCAACUAACGAUUUUUAAAAAUCAUAAUUAAAAAUUCUCAGAAAUACACUUUAAGUAUUGAAAUUAGUUCAAAAAUACCAUCCAUCCACCUUUAUGACUCAAAAAUACCCUUGUAACUAACGAUUUUCUUAAAUCAUAAAUAAUUUUUUUAAUAUACGUGGCAGCUUUCACUUGGUUGAAACUAAAUUAAUUUAAAUGUUAUAUUCAAUCUGACCUCAACUUAAGCUUUGGGGUGGGGUGGGUGAUUUUGAGUCGUAUAAGCUUUGUAAUUUAUUUUCCCUAUUUUGAUUAGGGAAGUUAUUUUUCUUAGUUUGAAAUUUAGAAUAAAUAUGUUUUUUAGGAAAAAUAUUUUUCAAAAUUUUUAGUCAAACGAACAUUUUCGUUCGCACCGAACCCACCCUUAAAAGCUUGUAAUGGUGAGGUGAUGCUUUUUCUGGUAGUUCUAGCGUCGACAUAAGAGAACAUUCCAAGGUUCAUGAUUAAUCAAAGUUUUACAUCAAAAUCUCUUACCUAUUUAUUUUUACUACAAAUGGCCUUAAAUAAUUAAUCAUCAUUUAACUCAUAUGGAAUUGGUAUAUAUUAUAUUCUUCGUUAUAUAAUUUACUAUUAAUUUAACUCUCACUUGAAAUAUUAUACUAAUAGAUUGCGAUGAUUCUUUAUAAAGGGAAGAUAAUGUACUCUAUAGUUAUAUUCCCUGCUCCAGAAAAAGUAACAUGCAUCUUUAAGAUUAGAUUUUGACCAUAUUAUAGAACAGUAAUGUCAAAUAAUGAUACUGUAUAUCCUCCGUUUUAAUUUAUUUAUUUUAAUUAUUAUUUACAUAAAAUAUUUUAAAUUAUUAGUUAUAUUAAAUCUUUUAAUAGAGAAAUUAUUUUAUGAACAUAAUUUUUAAUAUAUAAAUUUUAUUAUAAAAAAUUAAAAAUUUUAUAUCCAAAUUCACAUCAAAUAUUAAUUAGUUUGAUCAUGAUACUUCGAUAAACAAAGAAACAGAGAAAUGGAUAAUAGUUACAAGAUUUGACGUUUGCAUGAAAGAGUAAAAUUACUGAAAGUACUGGUAUUUUAUUUACUAUAGAUAUUCUCCACAAGCACGGAUUAAAAAAUGCUUUCACAAAGUUUAUAUUGUCUCGUUUUGCCCGCUAUAUUAAAGCCUAGCAUUAUUGACGUUGGGCAACCUUUAUACGGUUUGAAUCGGGUAGCUUGAGUUGGAAUUGGAUUGGAUAUAAUAUUUUAAUUAAUUUAGUUUCAACCAAGUGAAAGGUGACACGUAUUUUUUUUUUAAAAAAAAUAUUUAUAAUUUAAGAAAAUCGUUAGUUGUUAGGGUAUUUUUGAGCCAUGAAGGUGAAUAGAUGGUAUUUUUGAACCAAUUUCAAUACUCAAAGGUAUUUUUGACCCUUUUUUGAAUUUGUAAUUAUGAUUUUUAAAAACCAUUAGUUGCAAGGGUGUUUUUGAGUCUUAAAGGUGGAUGGAGAAGUAUUUUUGAACCAUUUUCAAUUCUUGAAUGAUACUUUUGGCCCAAUAGGUUAACGAAGGAUAUUUUUAACCCAAUUUCAAUACUAAAAGGAUAUUUCUGACCCUUUUCCAAACAAGAAAUAGUCUACUUGAAGAGUUACAACAUAUUCUACUUAAUUCAUAAUUAUUUAUAAAAUAUUCUACUUGAAUUAAAGAGAAACCUAUUUAAACGAGGUUACACACUUGAAUUUAAGGAGAUACGUUUGUGUUUUUAUGAAAAAAAAAAAGAUUAUGUAAUUAUUAUUUUUUAUUAUUAUUUUAUUUUUAUAAAAAAAGGUCUAAGUUUGUUAUAAAUAAUACCUUUGAAAAAUACCACGAGAACAUCAUGUUAAAAGUAUUUUAUCAAUUAUGGAAAGUUAGAAUUUACGAGAAAAAUUAGCUCCUUGAGUUUGACGAAAAUUAUUUUAACCCAAAUAGGCCAUUAGUCGUAUGAACAAGACAAAGGUCAUCUCGAAAUAAACUACUUAAUUUUUUUAAAAGUCUAAUUUUAGGAAGAAAAAUCAAAGAAACCAAUUUGAUCCAUUUAGACAAGAUAAAUUAGGUGGGAAAAAUUAUAAAUUAAGUGAAAAAGUCAAGAUAAAAUAGGAUGACAACAACAUAGGAAACCACUAGAUUAAUUAAUUAAAGUCUGGGUUAAUACAAUGAAACAAGAAUAAAUUGUAAAUUGUAAGAGAAUAAUGAUAAAGAGUUGAAGUUGGGCCCCUAUUCUGGCCCAUCAACAAGCUUCCCAAUUUUGGGCUUCAUCCUCAUGGACUUGUGGUAUUUUCCUGCAGUGUAUACCACAUGUAUACCAGCCAUAUUUUCUGCAUUUUUGCGUACAUAUGUUGUACAUACGUGCAUACAAAUCUGUAUACUUGCUUCAAGCUUCAUUAUGCAUCAUAUAUCGGCAUGUACCAACCACUUUCGCCCUGUAAAACCCAUAUAUCUAUUGUAUACAGUGUAUACCAGUCCCUUUGGACUUGAUUUUUAAAGUCUAGACUUGAAGAUUCAGGCUGCCUUGGCCCUUUAAGGAGAUACGGAGGAGUAUAGGGUCUCAUGGACUCAUGAGUAGUGUUCAUGCAAAGAAAAUGAUGAUGCAGACUAGUAAACUAUUAAUGCAUGAAGAAAGAUAAAUUUAUCAAGCAUCUAGGAAAAUACACAUCACCAAAGACAACUGUCUCAUACCACAACCUCAGUUACAGAGAAAGCUAGUAUUUAUCUGUCUAGCCAAGGUCCCUUUUCAGAUGAAAAGGGGAAAUUAUGAAACAAGUAGAUCACAUUCAUACCAAAACAAACCUUUUUCUCAUUAAAGGAGUCAAGUAUAAAGAGGCUUAUGCAAUCGCUAUAAAGCAUCGACUUGAUCUAAUGCGGAGGCUAUCACAAAAAUAGAGUUAUAAAAAUGCUCUUACAGUCGUAGAAUGUUUUAUAGGAUUGCUAUCAAUUUUUUCCAUUUCAACGUCUAUAUCAUAACAGUAAAACGAAGAAGCCCGCAUGCUAUGGAACAUAAGACAACCAAGGAUUGCAAAUAUUAGGCAUGGACACUUGUUCUUGAACAACCAUUUUUUUUCUUUGCAAACUUCAAGGCCGAAAUAUUUUUUUUGUAUUCAGUUUAACAGAGAGAUGACCACAAAAUUGAGAAAAUCUUAACACAAGUUUAAAUUCUUUGAGAAUCAAUAGUUGAACAAACUUCAAACAAGACAAGGACUAUAGCAUCUCAAAGGCAGAAAAAGAACUAUAGCAUCCAAAAUUCCAGCAAAGGCAUCAAAAGUUCAAAUUUAGAUAGCAUCUCAUGCUUCCCGACAACUACAAAACAGAAUAACAUCAACACGAGAGGAAGUUUUUUACAAGGAGUUUGGACUGUAUACAUCAAGCAACCCCACUCGUUUUGUUCGUGCAGAGGCAGGUCUUGAUUUAAAUGAAACGAUGGCUUUAGAAUUCAACCCAUUCUAAUGACAACAAUAUUAACAAUACUUGAACAAAUUUGGACCUCAAGAAAAAUACAAUGACGAGAAUCAGGAUCAUUCUAACUUCUAUGUAAACAAUAGAGUUAAGAGAUUUCCAUAUCAAUAAAUCAUAAUCCAUGGCAUACAGAAGAUUGACAAAAAGGGGUUACCUUUUUUUGGGCAGCGAACGGGACAGAAGAGCCUAUCACUGAUGGAGCUUCCACCACCGAAGUUUCAAUUUUGGGUUCGUCGGAAUUGAUUUCUUAAUAGAGUUUCUUCUCAAAUUUUUUGGUUGCGUGUGAUUAGAGGAAUGCUCUUCCAGAAUCUCCAAUUUUUUCCAAAGAAUCAUCCUUUCUAUGAUGAAGGAAGAGUAUCCCAGAUUUAAAAGAGAAACUGGAGGUUGUUGUAGGAUGGGUCACGGGUUGGAGAAUUGCUAACAGACAAAAUUGUGACAUCUAGGGCAGUGAUUUUGUUGCUGGCUUUGACCGGGUUAUUCACCAAAAUGGUGAUGCGAGUUCUGGGUUUGAUGAAAGUCGUUUGAUCCUUAGCCAAAAAUGGCAUUUUGUGAAUAUCGGAUGUUAUUGUUUAUUGUUUAUACGCGUAAAGGGUAGGGGAAAUGGAGUUGGGCC
rnacentral:lncRNA from 1 species